rnacentral:rRNA from 1 species
AACGAACGCUGGCGGCAUGCCUAACACAUGCAAGUCGAACGAGACCUUCGGGUCUAGUGGCGCACGGGUGCGUAACGCGUGGGAACCUGCCCUUAGGUUCGGAAUAACUCCCCGAAAGGGGUGCUAAUACCGGAUAAUGUCUUCGGACCAAAGAUUUAUCGCCUUUGGAUGGGCCCGCGUUGGAUUAGCUAGUUGGUAGGGUAAAAUCCUACCAAGGCGACGAUCCAUAGCUGGUCUGAGAGGAUGAUCAGCCACACUGGGACUGAGACACGGCCCAGAGUCGUACGGGAGGGGGGAGUGGGGAAGAUUGGACAGUGGGGGGAGGCGUGAUCCAGCAAUGCCGGGUGAGUGAUGAAGGCCUUAGGGUUGUAAAGCUCUUUUACCCGGGAUGAUAAUGACAGUACCGGGAGAAUAAGCUCCGGCUAACUCCGUG